rnacentral:piRNA from 1 species
UGACAUGUUAUCAUGAUUGCCAGGGCCCA